AUGCAUGGUGCUCGUUGUCAGGAGCCCCUGCCCUGUGUGGCUCUGGAUCUGACACAGGACAGCCUGGAGGAGGAGGCCCCCGGCGACAGCCUGUGGCCCACCACCGUCACCCUCCUCACUCUCUUCCUGCUGAGCCUGUUCUACAGCACAGCUCUCACCAUGACCAGCAUCCGGGGCCCACCUGGCAGCAAAGAGGGACCUCAGCCCUCCACGGAGGCCUGGCCAGAUUGCCCCGAGGCCUGGGCAAGGACGGACAGCACCGUGGGGGCCGUGGGGCCCUCGCACCUCAGGCCAGGGUCUCACGGACGCCACCACCAGCCCCAGCCAGGCCUCAGGAAGGCCAAGAGCUCAGUGCCCGCAACCACCCCCAGCCUCUUCCCACUGAACUUCUUCCCACCUGUGUCAAACGGGAAUUCAAAGACUGUGGUCGUCGGCUGCCUGAUCCGGGGCUUCUUCCCGCUGGGCCCUCUGAGUGUGAACUGGACCGUCAGCGAGGAGAACGUGAGCACCUUCACCUUCCCGCCUUUCCAGUCUGCCACUUCCAGCCUGUACACCACGUGCAGCCAGCUGAGCCUGCCAGCCACGCAGUGUCUUGGAGGUGACAGUGUGACCUGCCAAGUGGAGCACAACUACGACGAGGGCCAGGAUCUGGAAGUGCCCUGUCUAGACUGCCACUGCCCCUGCCCCCCCACCUCCUGCGGGGAGCCCAGCCUGUCCCUGCAGCGGCCAGACCUCGGGGACCUGCUCCUGGACUCAGAAGCCAACCUCACCUGCACCCUGAGAGGCCUGUUGAACCCCGAGGGCGCCGUCUUCACCUGGGAGCCCACAGACGGGAACAAACCCGUCCAGCAGAGUGCCCAGCGAGACCUCAGCGGCUGCUACAGUGUGUCCAGCGUGCUGCCCGGCUGUGCGGAGCCCUGGAGUGCGGGGACAGAGUUCACCUGCACAGUCACCCACCCUGAGAUAGAGGGCGGCUCCCUGACAGCCACCAUCAGCAGAGGCAGCCUCACCCCGCCCCAGGUACACCUGCUGCCGCCGCCGACCGAGGAGCUGGCCCUCAACGAACAGGUGACACUGACCUGCCUGGUGCAGGGCUUCAGCCCCAAGGACGUGCUGGUGUCCUGGUCACACAAUGGCACCCCGGUGGUCCCCAAAGACAGCUACCUGGUGUGGGAGCCCCUGCCCGAGCCCGGCCAGGAACCCACCACCUACGCCGUCACCAGCCUGCUGCGCGUGUUGGCCGAGGACUGGAACCAGGGGGACAGCUACUCCUGCGUGGUGGGCCAUGAGGGCCUGGCCAAGCACUUCACCGAGAAGACCAUCAACCGCCUGGCGGGUAAACCCACCCACGUCAACGUGUCUGUGGUCGUGGCAGACGUGGAAGGCGUGUGCUACUGA